UGAACUAUUGGUGGUAUGUUAAAUAUUGC
rnacentral:sRNA from 1 species